rnacentral:rRNA from 1 species
AACGAACGCUGGCGGCAUGCCUAACACAUGCAAGUCGAACGAGACCUGCGGGUCUAGUGGCGCACGGGUGCGUAACGCGUGGGAACUUGCCCUUAGGUUCGGAAUAACUCCCGGAAAGGGUUCUCAAACCGGCUCAAUGUCCCCGGACGAAAGGUUUACCGCCUUUGGUUGGGCCCGCGUUGGAUUAGCUAGUUGGAAGGUUAAAAGCAUUCCAGGGCGACCAUCCAUAGCUGGUCUGAGAGGAUGAUCAGCCAACCUGGGGGUGAGACACGGCCCAGACUCCUACGGGAGGCAGCAGUGGGGCAUAUUGGACCGUCGGCGAACGCCUGAUCCAGCAAUGCCGCGUGAGUGAUGAAGGCCUUAGGGUUGUAAAGCUCUUUUACCCAGGAUGGUAUUGACAGUACCGAGAGAAUAAGCUCCGGCUAACUCCGUG